UAGCUGGUGGAUCCUGCCAGUAGUUAUAUGCUCGUCUUCAAGAUUAAGCCAUGCAUGUCUAAGUGUAAACCACUGGUGAACUGCGAAUGGCUCAUUAUACCAGUUAUAAUCUAUUUGGUGGUAUGGACUACUCGGAUACCCGUAGUAACUCUGUGGCUAAUACGUGCGAAUUUCCCCAACUCAUCCGUCAAGGAGAUUAGGAGGGGCGUAUUUAUUAGUUAUAAACGCUAGCCUCGACACUCAGCCUUAAGUUAUAGCCUGAGUGUAGAGAUCGUGUUGAAUCAUAAUAACUGUCGAAUCGUAUGGCCGUUUAGCUACUAGUAUAGCUGAACAACGCUAACGAUGCUCCAAUCAAAUUUCUGCCCCAUCAUCUUGCACGUUGGUAGGGUAGUGGCCUACCAAAGAAAUGACGGGUAACGGGGAAUUGGCGUUCGAUUCCGGAGAGGGAGCCUGAGAGACGGCUACCACUUCUAAGGAAGGCAGCAGGCGCGCAACUUACCCAAUCCUGACGCAGGGAGGUAGUGACGAAACAUACCCUAGUAUAGAUCCGUGAUCUUGUAUAGGGAAUGCAUCCAAUCUAAACCGUUGGGUGAUGACCGAUUGGAGGGCAAGACUGGUGCCAGCAGCCGCGGUAAUACCAGCUCCAAUAGCAUAUAUUAGUGUUGUUGCGGUUAAAACGUCCGUAGUCGAAUUAAAGGCUCGUAACGCGUCUGACGCUAGGAGUUACUGGGGUGACCAUCCCCAAGGGGUAGCUUGUGUAGCCCUGCGGAGAUAUCGCCCCAUGUUACCUUGACGAAAUUGUGGUGUUCAUAGCAAGUACGGAGUACUCUAGGCACAAUAGCAUGGAAUAACAACGCAAGGACUCCGACCCGGAUUGCGCUAGCGCUCGGGAUCGGAGGAAGGAUUAAUAGGAGCAGUCGGGGGCGGUCGUAUUCCAUUGCUAGAGGUGAAAUUCGGUGACCAAUGGAGGACGAACAACAGCGAAAGCAUCCGUCCAGUAUGUUUUCAUUGAUCAGUGGACGAAAGCUAGGGGAGCGAACACGAUUAGGCACCGUGUGUAGUCCUAGCCGUAAACGAUACCGACUAGGGGUUGGUGGACGUUCUUCUCGAUAGCUCCAUCAGCACCUUAUGAGAAAUCACAAGCUUUCGGGUUCCGGGGGGAGUACGGUCGCAAGGCUGAAACUUAAAGGAAUUGGCGGAAGGGCACCACAAGGCGUGGAGCUUGCGGCUUAAUUUGACUCAACGCAGGAAAACUUACCAGGUCCGUACAUAGGGAGGAUUGACAGAUUGAUAGCUCUUUCUUGAUUCUAUGGGAGGUGGUGCAUGGCCGUUUCUAGUUCGUGAGUUGACUUGUCAGGUUAAUUCCGGUAACGAGCGAGACCUCAACUCCUAGCGAGCUCAGUACGUUGAAUAUCCGGUGUAGACUUGGGUACAACCAAGAUCCACGAAGGGAGUAGCUUGGUGAAGGCAAUCCGGGUAUGGGCCAGGACCGAGCAUUACGAAAUGAGCAUCCUAGGAGGACGCUUGGUGGGAAACCAAGGGAGGCAUGAGGCGAUAGCAGGUCUGUGAUGCCCUUAGAUGUUCUGGGCUGCACGCGCGCUACAAUGGUGCGAGCAAUGAGAUGAGGGCUGAACCGAGAGGUUUGGCGCGCCUCGUAAACCGCACCCUGCCAGGGAUAGAUCAUUGCAAUUGUUGAUCUUGAACGAGGAAUGCCUAGUAAGCACGAGUCAUCAGCUCGUGCUGAAUACGUCCCUGCCCUUUGUACACACCGCCCGUCGCUCCUGCCAAUGGAUCGGCUGGAGAGAGCGAGAGAUCGACCAGGGUAACACCCUCGCGUUGUAGACCUCCCUCGAUCCGUCAGUAUCUAAAGGAAGGAGAAGUCGUAACAAGGUUUCCGUAGGUGAACCUGCAGAAGGAUCAUCG
rfam:Bigelowiella natans nucleomorph chromosome 3, complete sequence.